GACGAACGCUGGCGGCGUGCUUAACACAUGCAAGUCGAACGGAAAGGCCCUGCUUUUGUGGGGUGCUCGAGUGGCGAACGGGUGAGUAACGCGUGAGUAACCUGCCCUUGACUUUGGGAUAACUUCAGGAAACUGGGGCUAAUACCGGAUAGGAGCUCCUGCUGCAUGGUGGGGGUUGGAAAGUUUCGGCGGUUGGGGAUGGACUCGCGGCUUAUCAGCUUGUUGGUGGGGUAGUGGCUUACCAAGGCUUUGACGGGUAGCCGGCCUGAGAGGGUGACCGGCCACAUUGGGACUGAGAUACGGCCCAGACUCCUACGGGAGGCAGCAGUGGGGAAUAUUGCACAAUGGGCGGAAGCCUGAGGCAGCAACGCCGCGUGCGGGAUGACGGCCUUCGGGUUGUAAACCGCUUUCGCCUGUGACGAAGCGUGAGUGGCGGUAAUGGGUAAAGAAGCACCGGCUAACUACGUG
rnacentral:rRNA from 1 species